rnacentral:rRNA from 1 species
UACGUAGGGCGCAAGCGUUGUCCGGAAUUAUUGGGCAUAAAGAGCUCGUAGGCGGCCAGUGGCGUCUGCCGUGAAAUCCCGGGGCUCAACCCCGGGCGUGCAGUGGAUACGGGCUGGCUAGAGUGUGGUAGGGGAGACUGGAAUUCCUGGUGUAGCGGUGGAAUGCGCAGAUAUCAGGAGGAACACCGAUGGCGAAGGCAGGUCUCUGGGCCAUUACUGACACUGAGAAGCGAAAGCAUGGGGAGCGAACAGG